rnacentral:rRNA from 1 species
AUUGAACGCUGGCGGCAUGCCUUACACAUGCAAGUCGAACGGUAACAGGUCUUCAGAUGCUGACGAGUGGCGAACGGGUGAGUAAUACAUCGGAACGUGCCCGAUCGUGGGGGAUAACGAGGCGAAAGCUUUGCUAAUACCGCAUACGAUCUACGGAUGAAAGCGGGGGAUCUUCGGACCUCGCGCGGACGGAGCGGCCGAUGGCAGAUUAGGUAGUUGGUGGGAUAAAAGCUUACCAAGCCGACGAUCUGUAGCUGGUCUGAGAGGAUGAUCAGCCACACUGGGACUGAGACACGGCCCAGACUCCUACGGGAGGCAGCAGUGGGGAAUUUUGGACAAUGGGCGAAAGCCUGAUCCAGCCAUGCCGCGUGCAGGAUGAAGGCCUUCGGGUUGUAAACUGCUUUUGUACGGAACGAAAAGCCUCUUUCUAAUAAAGAGGGGUCAUGACGGUACCGUAAGAAUAAGCACCGGCUAACUACGUG